rnacentral:rRNA from 1 species
UACGUAGGGUGCAAGCGUUGUCCGGAAUUAUUGGGCGUAAAGAGCUCGUAGGCGGUUCGUCGCGUCGGCUGUGAAAUCCCGAGGCUCAACCUCGGGUCUGCAGUCAAUACGGGCGGACUGGAGUUCGGCAGGGGAGACUGGAAUUCCUGGUGUAGCGGUGAAAUGCGCAGAUAUCAGGAGGAACACCGGUGGCGAAGGCGGGUCUCUGGGCCGAUACUGACGCUGAGGAGCGAAAGCGUGGGGAGCGAACAGG